GACGAGCCACACAAACGUUAUUCGGAAUUACUGGGCUUAAAGGGUGCGUAGGCGGCGCGGAAAGUUGGGUGUGAAAUCCCUCGGCCCAACCGAGGAAUUGCGCUCAAAACUACCGUGCUCGAGGGAGAUAGAGGAGUGCGGAACUUAGGGUGGAGCGGUGAAAUGCGUUGAUAUCCUAGGGAACACCGGUGGCGAAAGCGGCACUCUGGAUCUCAUCUGACGCUGAUGCACGAAAGCUAGGGUAGCAAACGGG
rnacentral:rRNA from 1 species